rnacentral:rRNA from 1 species
UGAGUAACACGUAUCCAACCUACCUCAUACUCGGGGAUAGCCUUUCGAAAGAAAGAUUAAUAUCCGAUAGCAUAUAUUUCCCGCAUGGGUUUUAUAUUAAAGAAAUUCGGUAUGAGAUGGGGAUGCGUUCCAUUAGUUUGUUGGGGGGGUAACGGCCCACCAAGACUACGAUGGAUAGGGGUUCUGAGAGGAAGGUCCCCCACAUUGGAACUGAGACACGGUCCAAACUCCUACGGGAGGCAGCAGUGAGGAAUAUUGGUCAAUGGACGCGAGUCUGAACCAGCCAAGUAGCGUGAAGGAUGACUGCCCUAUGGGUUGUAAACUUCUUUUAUAUGGGAAUAAGGUUGUCCACGUGUGGAUUUUUGUAUGUACCAUAUGAAUAAGGAUCGGCUAACUCCGUGCCAGCAGCCGCGGUAAUAC